AUUGAACGCUGGCGGCAGGCCUAACACAUGCAAGUCGAGCGGAUGAAGGGAGCUUGCUCCUGGAUUCAGCGGCGGACGGGUGAGUAAUGCCUAGGAAUCUGCCUGGUAGUGGGGGAUAACGUCCGGAAACGGGCGCUAAUACCGCAUACGUCCUGAGGGAGAAAGUGGGGGAUCUUCGGACCUCACGCUCUCAGAUGAGCCUAGGUCGGAUUAGCUAGCUGGUGGGGUAAAGGCCUACCUAGGCGACGAUCCGUAACUGGUCUGAUAGGAUGAUCAGUCACACUGGAACGGAGACACGGUCCAGACUCCUACGGGAGGCAGCAGUGGGGAAUAUUGGACAGUGGGCGGAAGCCUGAUCCAGCCAUGCCGCGUGUGUGAAGAAGGUCUUCGGAUUGUAAAGCACUUUAAGUUGGGAGGAAGGGCAGUAAGUUAAUACCUUGCUGUUUUGACGUUACCAACAGAAUAAGCACCGGCUAACUUCGUG
rnacentral:rRNA from 1 species